CGCGUAGGCGGUUACGCAAGUCGGAUGUGAAAAGUCAUGGCUCAACUGUGAUCGUGCAUCCGAAACUGCGUUGACUUGAGGUCGGUAGAGGCAAGUGGAACUAGCGGUGUAGCGGUGAAAUGCGCAGAUAUCGCUAGGAACGCCGGUGGCGAAGGCGACUUGCUGGGCCGUACCUGACGCUGAUGCGCGAAAGCUAGGGGAGCGAACC
rnacentral:rRNA from 1 species